AGGACGAACGCUGGCGGCGUGCUUAACACAUGCAAGUUGAACGGUAUGACAUGGAAGCUUGCUGAAGUGUCAUAUAGUAGCGGACGGGUGAGUAAUGCAUGAGAAGCUGCCAUUGGGAGGGGGACAACAGUUGGAAACGGCUGCUAAUACCCCGUAUGCCGGAAGGUAGAAAGGGAGCGAUCCGCCCGAUGAGGUGCUCAUGUCCUAUCAGCUGGUUGGUGGGGUAACGGCCUACCAAGGCGACGACGGGUAGCCGGCCUGAGAGGGUGAACGGCCACACUGGAACUGAGAUACGGUCCAGACUCCUACGGGAGGCAGCAGGUGGGGAAUAUUUGGGCAAGUGGGGCAACCCUGACCCAGCGACGCCGCGUGGGGAAGACGGCCUUCGGGUUGUAAACCUCUUUUGUACGGGAAGAAGGAAGUGACGGUACUGUACGAAUAAGUCCCGGCUAACUACGUGCCAGCCGCAGC
rnacentral:rRNA from 1 species